CCCAUGUUUCAGCGAGCAGCAGCAGCGAAGCUGUGAAGCCGCGGCCGCUCCUCCCCUCCUACCUGUCCCUCCUCCUGCAGCCGGGAUCCGCAGGAAUGCCGGUUAUUCCCGCUGCGCCUCGUCUGAAACCGAUUUUACUGUAAUCUUCACAAAAAGCUUCAGAAAACCUGGAUAAUGAUCCAGUCCGGAUCAAAGCAUGAAACCUGGACAGGUGAGGUUUAAGGACUUCAUGUAGGAAGGUGUGCUGAGGUGAGUUUGUACCUGGAGCCUCUCUGGCUGAAAGGCAGAGCUGCUGAGCCCAGACUGGAGGAGAAACCAGACAGUUAGCAUGCAGGUCCAACAACACAACGAAGAACGAGGAAAAACAGAGAGGAGGAGGAAGAGGAGGAAGGUCAGGAGGAAGAGGAGGAAGAGGAGAAACAUCAAAUGAACCUUCAGCUUUAAACAGUUCGUCUGCAGCAUUAAGGUUCCAUUAGCUACUAUUACUAUCACUGUUACUGUUCUGGUUCUGUUGGACCCAGUACGAUCAGAACCGUUCAGAACUUCCUGCAAAUGGAGCGGCUGGAUGAUCCGACUGCAGGCGGAAACACAGCUCUUACUGCACGCCUGUUACCGUAGUAACAGGCGUGCUCUCCGUGACCCGUUUGCAUCCGACCGGACUGGACGGUUACCUAGCAACAGCUUCCUUUCUGUCCUGGUUUUUACCUGCACGGCGACGACAGAAGGAGAGCCAGAAGUUUACAUACGCCUGAUAAAAAGACAGUUUUUGUUCCUCCGGUCCGAAGCUGGAUCAGAACCAAACGUCUCUGGUUUCACCUCACAAUAAAUUAUUUCAGUUUCCCAAAAGGCUCAAUAAUGAGAAUCUGUUUUUUCUUCCUGCAGUAAAUCAGCACCACACAGCAUGACGCUGCCACCUCCAUACUUCAGUGAGGAUGACAAGCAUCCCUGAUUCCCCUCCAGAUGUGACGUCACAGCAGAACCGUCCAGUUCAGUCUCGUUUCCAAACUGCAACCUGGCUUUUUAAGUUUGUUUCAAAAUGUUCUGAGAAAGUUUAAAUUCAACUAAAAAAUAUUCAACUUCUUUCCUCAGUGACAGUUUCCACCGCGAAGAGGGUUUAUCGGUGACCCGGCUGCUGAGAAAAGAAGAUUGAAUUGUCAAGUUUCUGACUCAAGAAAAAUAAAUUUCUGUAAUAUCCCA